rnacentral:tRNA from 1 species
CAAAUUAGAGCUUGGUUAAGCAUUUUAUUUACAUUAAAAAGUUAGUUGUUAAUACAAUUUAAUUUGA